rnacentral:rRNA from 1 species
UACGGGAGGCAGCAGUGGGGGAUAUUGCGCAAUGGGGGCAACCCUGACGCAGCAACGCCGCGUGAAGGAUGAAGGUUUUCGGAUUGUAAACUUCUUUUAUUAAGGACGAAACUUGACGGUACUUAAUGAAUAAGCUCCGGCUAACUACGUGCCAGCAGCCGCGGUAAUACGUAGGGAGCAAGCGUUGUCCGGAUUUACUGGGUGUAAAGGGUGCGUAGGCGGCUUUGCAAGUCAGAUGUGAAAUCUAUGGGCUCAACCCAUAAACUGCAUUUGAAACUGUAGAGCUUGAGUGGAGUAGAGGCAGGCGGAAUUCCCCGUGUAGCGGUGAAAUGCGUAGAGAUGGGGAGGAACACCAGUGGCGAAGGCGGCCUGCUGGGCUUUAACUGACGCUGAGGCACGAAAGCGUGGGUAGCAAACAGGAUUAGAUACCCUGGUAGUCCACGCUGUAAACGAUGAUUACUAGGUGUGGGGGGUCUGACCCCUUCCGUGCCGGAGUUAACACAAUAAGUAAUCCACCUGGGG